ensembl:lncRNA
CUUCUCCUUAGCUGACUCCUACUCAGCCUCCACCACGGCCUGCAGAGCCUAAAGGAAACACAUCUAGUGCUGAACUGUGAGACAAUGAAGUACUCAUGUGUUUCAUGCACCCACACAUACCUGCCUUGUAGGGAGAACAUGAUGAGGAUCCAGUUUGGACACAAAUGCCCUGAAUCAUCCACAAUACUGAAGGGCUGCGUGUCCUUCGCUGUCAUGGAGACGAGGCUUCAUCCAGCUCUUGUUUUAAAAGACAAUGAACACAGUGUCUGUUACCUGUCUUUAUUUGCACAAUGAACAACAGUGAAUAAUUGUGUUGGUGCAUUUGUAAUGUUGUGAUGACUUACCUUGGCUGGGUGAAGCUCCAGGUUCCUCCUUAUUCUCAUGCAAGGCACGGUGAGGCCUCAGCAUGGAGGAGGUGCUGUUAUUGCACCCAAACUCCUCGGAGCACAAUAAACACCUCACCUUUGAAUCAAAUAAGAAACUGAAAAAUACAGUUCUUGAUAAGCAAACCUAAUGUGUCUGAAAUAGAGUGAGAUUCAGCUCACCUUAUUAGGAGUGAUCUAAUCACAGAGGAAGUCCUCCUCUUCCUAGCUGGCUCCAUCUUAUCACCUGUCCUUCUCUCCUCACUCUCAACUAUCUCUCUCUAAACUCUCCAAACGAUAUAAACUAUCCCAACCAUCCAAACUCUAACUGACCAACUCUCCACCAACAACCCACAUCUUGAAUGGAGCCUGAGGGGUUUAUACAUGGAAGUAAAUCUGAAGCCCUUCUCGAAGCCGUCACGUGGUCCCGCCGGGCAGCGAGGCUUCGGACGCCAUCGUUUAUGGCUCCUCCCCUAAAUGAAGCGAGCCUCGGUACGCGCUGCGAGGACACGCCCCCUCAGUCACUCGACACGCGCGAGGCGUCGGCACAUCUGCUUAAGAACACUCGCGGGUCAGGUAGUUAGCAGCCUUGGAACUGCACACAGGUUUUUUGCAGUGGCCGAACAUUGAGAAAAGGCCACAAUGACUCUGUGGCCCUAAAAGGACUCGAGAUGACGAUGAAAGCUCUUGGGACAAAACGUCCUCAUCCAAAGGGCGCAUCCCAAAGAAGAGGGUCCGACGCCGUCAGAGACUUGACACCGGCGUCAGAGCGCCAUUGCUCGCCCGAUACGAAAGGCCCGAAAGCUCCGGGCAGCGUGUCAGCGUGAC